UCCCUGGCAGUCCAGUGGUUAAAACCCUGCACUCCCAAUGCAGGGGCUACAGGUUCAAUCCCUGAUCAGGAAA
rnacentral:tRNA from 1 species